GGGCCUCGGGCAGGUCGCUCUCCACGCAGUACACGGAGCAGAAGACUUGUCUCUUGGCGAGGGACGGGCGCCGCUGACCCAGCACGUCCAGGACCAGUCCGUCGGCGGCCCCCACGCGGGUCCUGGGCUCCAGCUCUUCGCCGGGGGGCGCCUCCUGCUGUUCAUCCCCUCCCUCUUUUCGAUCCCCAGCUUCCUCCUCUUCCUCCUCCAGCUCCAACUGCAGUGGCAAGGUCUGGGGAUUGAGAGGCCCGGCAUGACUAAGAGAUAUCGUGAAAUUACAACUCAACAAUGAAUUACAGCACAGGCUUUUCACAACUAAGAGACUGUCCAUCAUGGUGCCAGUUUUUCUCAAAAUGGCAUGUGUGCAUGAAAUUCUACAGGCAUAUGGGGUCGUGAUCUGCUAAUCUCCAGUUAUUAUACAAAACUACAGAUACUUGAAAACAGAACCAAAUAAAAAUUCUAGCAGAAGAAGACAAUAUAUGAAAUUUAAUAAUUCAUUUCCUGGGAAUGACAGCAGAAAGGUGAUGACAGAGGAAAGAGCCAAUAAAAUUUGAAGACAGACUACUUUGAAAAGGGACUUUCCAGCUAUCAGUACACUAUCUCACAAUUACCCUUGAACCAGAAGACAAUGAAUGAUUUGCUAAACAGAUGGCAUAGUCUAUGACAUGCAUCAUAUGUGUGAGCAAUCACAGAAGACUCCUUCCUGUUGCCUUGUGAAGAAGGCUCCUGCUUCCCCUUCACCUUCUGCGCGAUUGUAAGUUUCCUGAGGCCUCCUAGCCAUGCUUCUUGUUCACUCUGCGGAACUGUCCUGAGCUGAAAAGAAUAUGAGAAAUCGGAUUUUACGACAUACCAAAUUAUGAUUGUAUGUCCCAGAAAUUCACUUAGAAGCUAAUAGAAAAAAUGAAACCAAAGCCUUUUGAGAGUUGAAAAUUUAUCAUGACAUAUGCUGGCUGCACAGUCAAAACUUAUCACUGCCCACGACUUCGGAAGCAUGACAGGAGAGCUGUGGGAGCCACUUCCUCGUCAGACGUGGUUUGAUAUGUCAAGUGAGAACCUGAGUAAAGCAAAGAGGUGAACUAUGACUUGGAAUCCUCCAGGCUUUGGCUUCCAUCACACUCCAUGAACUUGAUGCACAUAAUUUAAUGUAGGCCUCCACCCAAUAUCAUCAGUUCUCUUGCAUGUUGAACCCCCAGUUUCCUGGAUCUGACCAACAUGACCUUAAUGUUCCUAUCAGCUCGACUAAACUUUAAAGAGAUUUCUUCCUCAAUAUGGGCCUCUAACUUCCCUUUUCUUAGAGCAUUUACUUUAGAAAUUUUGCAAUUAUCAAUUUUUUCUCCCUAUUUUUGAGAUGUAAAUUUUCUACAACUCAGGAAUGUCUUUCUCAAGGACAUGAGAGAUAUCCCUUUGAAAUGUAAUUGUGAAAAAUGAUAGCACCUCUAUUUCAAUCUGUGUAGGAGAGUAGGAGCCUAACUCAGGUAAGUGACAUUUAGCAAACUCAGAUGGCCUAAACACAUUCACCAACUUCCCCACUAAUGUACUCCCUACUGGUUCAUGUCAGCAUUUAAUAAUCCUUCUGCUUUCUUUUCAGUGGAGCUGAGUUCAGUCUGUCUCUCUUCUGCAGUGGUCUUCUCUCCCAUUGCAAUGGUCUUGAGUAAAGUGUUCUUUGUUUGUUUUACUUGGAGAUGAUGUCAGUUCAAUAUUGAAGUCUCUCUUCCCU
rnacentral:lncRNA from 1 species